rnacentral:rRNA from 1 species
UACGAAGGGGGCUAGCGUUGCUCGGAAUCACUGGGCGUAAAGCGCUCGUAGGCGGAUUGUUAAGUCGGGUGUGAAAUCCUGGAGCUCAACUCCAGAACUGCCUUUGAUACUGAAGAUCUUGAGUCCGGGAGAGGUGAGUGGAACUGCGAGUGUAGAGGUGAAAUUCGUAGAUAUUCGCAAGAACACCAGUGGCGAAGGCGGCUCACUGGCCCGGUACUGACGCUGAGGCACGAAAGCGUGGGGAGCAAACAGG